UACGUAGGGUGCAAGCGUUGUUCGGAAUUACUGGGCGUAAAGGGAGCGUAGGUGGAAACUUAAGUUAGGAGUUUAAUUCUCGGGCUUAACCCGAGGCUGGCUCUUAAUACUGAGUUCCUUGAGUAUGGGAGAGGAUGAUGGAAUUCCAGGUGUAGCGGUGGAAUGCGUAGAUAUCUGGAAGAACACCAGCAGCGAAGGCGGUCAUCUGGCCCAAUACUGACACUGAGGCUCGAAAGCUCGGGGAG
rnacentral:rRNA from 1 species